rnacentral:rRNA from 1 species
UACGUAGGGGGCAAGCGGUUGUCCGGAAUUAUUGGGCGUAAAGAGCGUGUAGGCGGUCCGGUAAGUCAGCUGUGAAAGUCAAGGGCUCAACCCUUGAAAGCCGGUUGAUACUGUCGGGCUAGAGUCCGGAAGAGGCGAGUGGAAUUCCCGGUGUAGCGGUGAAAUGCGUAGAUAUCUGGAGGAACACCGGUGGCGAAGGCGGCAUCCUGGACCGGUAUUGACGCUGAGGAGCGAAAGCCAGGGGAGCAAAGCGGG